AAGAACUUCAUUUUCUAGAGCAGAAAAGCCAGAGUGACAGAAAACACAUUUUUCCAUUUUUAGGGGAGGGCCCUUUGGCUGCUCAUGGAGAUGGUCAGAGGUACAGGAGGGACUUUGGCCGGUGUGCACUGAGGUGGUAACGGGGACACUAAGAACUGUGUGACCUACUCAGCGUGGAAAGGUACCAGGAAGGCUCCACGGGCCGCAGCGUCUCAGGGGACAGCUGCCGUGAGAGGACCCUAUGACCCCACUGCAGCUGCUGUGGGCUGGAUCAUCGGUUCACCUGGAUCACCGGACCCAAGGUGGGCAAGAGUGCUUUGUGGGGCUUUAGAACUUGGAAUUGAGAAAGUCAGCCUCCUUUAGGUGCCUGAAGUUUUAACACAAAACUGG
rnacentral:lncRNA from 1 species